CACAUGCAAGUCGAACGCGAAAAUCCCGAAAGGGAUGAGUAGAGUGGCAAACGGGUGAGUAACACGUGGGUGACCUGCCUUCGAGUGGGGGAUAACGUCCCGAAAGGGACGCUAAUACCGCAUAACAUCCGGCCUUUUAAGAGGUGGAGAUCAAAGCUGGGGACCGCAAGGCCUGGCGCUGGAAGAGGGGCCCGCGUCUGAUUAGCUAGUUGGUGAGGUAACGGCUCACCAAGGCAACGAUCAGUAUCCGGCCUGAGAGGGCGGACGGACACACUGGGACUGAGACACGGCCCAGACUCCUACGGGAGGCAGCAGUGGGGAAUUGUUCGCAAUGGGCGCAAGCCUGACGACGCAACGCCGCGUGGAGGAUGAAGACCUUCGGGUCGUAAACUCCUUUCGAUCGAGACGAAUGGCCCCGGGGUAAAUAUCCUUGGGGAGUGACGGUACCGAGAGAAGAAGCCCGGCUAACUCCGUGCCAGCAGCCGCGGUAAUACGGGGGGGGCAAGCGUUGUUCGGAAUUACUGGGCGUAAAGGGCUCGUAGGUGGCCAACUAAGUCAGACGUGAAAUCCCUCGGCUUAACCGGGGAACUGCGUCUGAUACUGGAUGGCUUGAGUUUGGGAGAAGGAUGCGGAAUUCCAGGUGUACCGGUGAAAUGCGUAGAUAUCUGGA
rnacentral:rRNA from 1 species